rnacentral:lncRNA from 10 species
CUAUGUCUGUCACUGUGCUGACACUGGGAAUACAAAGGUGGCCAAAGAUCAUCUAGAACAAUGGUUCCCAGUGGGGUGGGCAGAAAGAUUUUGCCCCCCAGGAGACAGCUGGCAAUGUGUGGAGGCCAGGGAUGAGGCUAAACACCCAACCCUCAUGGAUUAGUUUGCCAGGGCUGCCGUCACAAGAUACUGCAGACGGGGAAGCUUACACAACAGAAAUGUGUAUUCUCAGAAUUCUGGAGGCUGGAAGUCCAAGAUCAGUAGGGUUUCUUCUUCGGCCUCUCUCCUUGGCUUCCACUCAUGGUGUCCUUGCAUGGUCUUUUCUCUGUGUGCACAUGACUGUGCAGGACUGGUGUCCCGAUUUCUUGUAGGGACAGCAGUCAUUGGAUCAGGGCCCAUGCGUAUGGCCUCAUUUUACUUCAGUUACCUCUUUUUUAGAUAGAGGGCCCUAUCUCUAAAUACUGUCACAUUCUGAGAUACCGGCAGUUAAGACUUCCAACAUAUUUAGUGGUAGGGGUUAAGGGGCACGCUUUAGACUACAACACUCCACAGUAAAGAAUUAUCCAGUCUAACAUGUCAGUUGUGCCAAGACUGAGAAACCUGUAAUGUAAAGGAACUCCCAAGUCUACCUGAAAAGUAAGGUCUAAAGAGCAUUUAUUGAGCACUAUCUGUUAGCACUUAGCAUAUGUUUAAUAUUCAUACAUUGAAAGAAAUGUAUGUUCAUAUCCAUCUGACAAAGAUUAAGGAACUUAGAGUAAGUAAUAGAUCCAAAAUUGAAACUGAUAAACUUCUGGUUCUAAAAUUCACCUUUUAGUGAAAAUACAGUUUCUCACCAAACUUACAGUAAUUCAGAGUUAUUAACUCUUUCUACCUCCUCACUCCCCUCAAAGUUAUAACAUCUCCCAUCAACAUCAGCUCAGAAUGGCAGUGAUGCUUAUGGUUUGUGGGGGUGCAGGUGAGCUGCUGGAUGCACUUUAGAUGGCCUAGUAUGCCAGGCCGUCCUUUCAUCCUCUACUCUCGUCUUUCUUUUUCGACCUCAUGUUGAGGAUUACUGGUCUAGUUGAAAAAAGAAUUCAUACACAUAAGACCAUGUAUAUAAUAGAGGGAGGUAUGCCUUUAAAAACAAAAUUACAUGGUAAAGACUGAUGUGUCAACAGGGAUAGACAACAUAGAGAAGGCUAGAACUGUUUCUGGAAAAAAACCCAAAAACAAUGGAUUUCAAACUUCUUAGCAUCCGAUAAAAGAAAGUAGCAAUUAUUCAAAUGAGAAACACUUCUGUCUGUUAUGUACAUAUUAUGAAAGUAUGAACAUAAGAGGGAAAACCACAACCAUUACAUUUUUUACCAUUUCAGUAAUUUUUUUUUGGUUUUUAGUCUGUUUUUAGACAUCCUUAAGAACAACUAUCUGAGGCUGUAAACAAGUAUUUACAUUAACACCCAUGAUACUGACUUUAUACUCCCUACCUGCAUUGAGACCUUAAAGGGGGCAUUUCUCCAUUCCUUCUGUGUAUUUCUGGGUAUCCCCAGGUUCAGAUAUUCAGAAUACAGAUACAAGUCCAUGCUUGCAUAUGUUGCUGCUCCCCCCGACAGACUUCUACCAGCAUCUGCCCUCCUCACCGCUGCUCUGUCACGUGCACUGCGGCUGGCCCUGCUGGAAAGUCCUACCUUGCCUAGGACGCCAUCCCCGAUAUAGCCCCAAGAUGCAAACCUGCCAAGUGCUAGGGCAGCCCUGCCUUCCUGUCCAUUUCAGUCUCUUGGCCUUGCUGUGUUCCAAGUGGAAAUGGGAGUGUGCUUUCCUGGUUUGCUAGUGUACUAUCACCCGGACCACAGCGUCCUGUGCAAAAAUUUGCUUCCUCUCUCUUCCCCUUUCACUCUUUCUCUUUUCUCUUCCCCACCCCCUUUUUUUUCUCUUUCCCCUUACCUUUCUUUCCUUUCCACUCUUCCUGUCCUUCCUUCCUUCAACUAUUAGGACUAUAUGUCAAGUAAUGUGCAAAACAAAGACAGUUCCUGCCCUGAUGGAGCUUGUAGAUCAGAAGGGAAGAUGAGCAUUAAGUAAUUAUAUAGAUUAAUGUACAACUGUGAUGAGUGCAACAAAAGAGAGGUUCAUGGCACUAUCAAACAUGCAAUGGACGGAUUUUGUUUUUGCCUAUAAACUCUUGCCAUAGAAAGCUUGAAAAUCAGUCCAGGGGGACAGCAUUAAUCACCAUGUUCUUUCCUUAUCCCUGUCUUCCCCAAAAUUCAUGUGUUGAAACUUAACAAGAGGUGGGAACUUUAGGAUGUGAUUAAGUCGUGAGGGCACAGCUCUUAUAGAUGGGGUCACGGUCCUUCUAAAAGGGCUUGAGGGAGUGGUUUUGUUUCCUUCCAUCCCUUCCGCCACAUGAGGACACAGUCUUCGUUCCCUCUGGAGGACUCAGCAACAACACACCAUCUUGGAAGCAGAGAGCAGUCCUCACCAGACACGGAAUCUGCCAGUGCCUUGAUCUUGGACUUACCAGCCUCCAUACCUGUGAGAAAUAAAUUUCUAUUGUCUAUAAGUU